CCCGUUGCCACCGCCGCCUCACCUCUCCCCCGCCGCCCUUCCCCUCCUCUCCCCCUGCAAUCCCCUGUGGCAGCAACACGACGCGCCCGGCAAGCAGCGGCCCGGCGGCGCAACUCCUGCGGCCCGUCGGCUGGCACGGCAGCGGUGCGGCGGCACCCGCGCCCCCCGCUGACCGCUGCGGCGCCGCGCCUCCGCACCUCCGCGGCCCCGCCCCCGGCUCCGGAGACCUGCGCGGUGCUGCUCCGACUCCGGCUUCAGGGACCUGUGCAGCGGGCCCACCCCCACAUCCCGCGCAGCCAGAGCCGGCCAUGGGCGGCGCCGACGAUGCGGCGGUGCGCGCCGAGGAGUCCAUCUCGGGGGGCGUCGUCGUCUGGAGCGACGCCGUCUCCUCGCACGACCCGGACCACCUCCUCGUCAUGGUCCACGCCAUCCUCGGCAGGUAAAAGUAUACCACCUCUGCUCCCCGGGGACCCGGGAUUCGUAGUUGAUGCAAAGCCGGCUGCUGGAUUGCCCUUUGGGGUGAAAUCAGAUGGUACAUUUGGGCGGAAUUUGUUCCGGAGCCUGCGAUUGGGAGAAACCUCCCAAGGAUCCGUAGACACGGCAUUGGGUCGGUCUAGCGUGCUGCCUUUUCGGCUUGCCGUGGUGAAUGGAAUUGGUCUGCUGGCUCACGCCAGCAUUUAGGCCAGCUGCCAACUGCCUUUCCACUGUCAAGCGAAAUAUUUAGUGUAUUCUGCAAAUAGAGCGAAAUGUUCAACCCUUCUUCAGGAUUCAAGCUGGUGUCAUAGACAAAAAUUCACGAUGUAAUUGUGCACUCCUGUCAGGAUGCUCAAAUGUGUUUCAAUUGUGGUGCUGCCUUUUAUGUCUUGAGAUAUGUCGAACAACUAUCUCUAUCCCUGAUAACUACGAUGCUCUAUUUUACUUGUCAUUUCACAUGUUUGCUAGCUCAAUGAUAGAAUAAUUAAAAUCUUUUUCAUGUUUGCAGUGCGAGACCCGCCCAUCAAAGCGCACUUCCUCAGUCUGAGCUCACCAAAAUGAGAGGUGACAUGUGCUUCCUGUCAUCAAGACCACUAGCAAGUUUUAUGAUAGUAGUUGAACAUGCGUGAUUUAUUUUGGGUGUUGUAACUUAAAUGAGCAAAUAGAACUUUUGUAACUUUCUGAAAUCUAUCUGACCAUACCUUAAUAUAUUCUACAUGUGAAGUAUGGUCAUGUGUUUGUGCUGUAUGAUUGCAAGUUAA